rnacentral:rRNA from 1 species
AACGUAGGAGACAAACGUUAUCCGGAGUUACUGGGCGUAAAGGGCGUGCAGGCGGUUGCUUAAGUUCGGCGUGAAAGCCUCCGGCUAAACCGGGGGAGGUCGUCGGAAACUGGGUCACUAGAGGGUGAUAGAGGCGGGUGGAAUUCCGGGUGUAGUGGUGAAAUGCGUAGAGAUCCGGAGGAACACCAGUGGCGAAGGCGACCCGCUGGGUCACACCUGACGCUGAGACGCGACAGCAUGGGGAGCGAACGGG